GAUGAACGCUGGCGGCGUGCCUAAUACAUGCAAGUCGAGCGAACAGACGAGGAGCUUGCUCCUCUGACGUUAGCGGCGGACGGGUGAGUAACACGUGGAUAACCUACCUAUAAGACUGGGAUAACUUCGGGAAACCGGAGCUAAUACCGGAUAAUAUAUUGAACCGCAUGGUUCAAUAGUGAAAGACGGUUUUGCUGUCACUUAUAGAUGGAUCCGCGCCGCAUUAGCUAGUUGGUAAGGUAACGGCUUACCAAGGCAACGAUGCGUAGCCGACCUGAGAGGGAGAUCGGCCACACUGGAACUGAGACACGGUCCAGACUCCUACGGGAGGCAGCAGUAGGGAAUCUUCCGCAAUGGGCGAAAGCCUGACGGAGCAACGCCGCGUGAGUAUGAAGGUCUUCGGAUCGUAAAACUCUGUUAUUAGGGAAGAACAAAUGUGUAAGUAACUAUGCACGUCUUGACGGUACCUAAUCAGAAAGCCACGGCUAACUACGUG
rnacentral:rRNA from 1 species